rnacentral:rRNA from 1 species
UUAGUGGCGGACGGGUGAGUAACGCGUGGAAAACCUGCCGUAUACUGGGGGAUAACACUUAGAAAUAGGUGCUAAUACCGCAUAAGCGCACAGCUUCGCAUGAAGCGGUGUGAAAAACUCUGGUGGUAUACGAUGGUUCCGCGUCUGAUUAGCUAGUUGGUGGGGUAAUGGCCUACCAAGGCAACGAUCAGUAGCCGGCCUGAGAGGGUGAAGGCCACAUUGGGACUGAGACACGGCCCAAACUCCUACGGAAGGCAGCAG